GACGAACCGUGCGAACGUUAUUCGGAAUCACUGGGCUUAAAGCGCGUGUAGGCUGCGAUGUAAGUCAGGUGUGAAAGCCCUCAGCUUAACUGAGGAAGUGCACUUGAUACUGUGUCGCUUGAGUGUCGGAGGGGGUGGCGGAAUUCCCGGUGUAGAGGUGAAAUUCGUAGAUAUCGGGAGGAACACCUGUGGCGAAGGCGGCCACCUGGACGACAACUGACGCUGAGACGCGAAAGCGUGGGUAGCAAACAGG
rnacentral:rRNA from 1 species